rnacentral:lncRNA from 1 species
GCGGCGAGGGAGGGUGGGUGUCUCUACGGGGCUCCCCGAAGGGAGGGGGGAGGAGGCGAAUAGGCUCCGACAUCACCAAUCGCUGCAGCCUUUAGGGAGAAAACGAGCCUGGCGGCUGAUGCUCGCGAAGCCAUGCUCGGCCUACAUCAGCAGAGGAGAGCUGGAAGGAACGGCUAAAGGGGAAGACAGUUGGGUUCCAUUUUGCCUUCCGAGAACCUGCUGGCAGGCACUAUAGAAUACAUGCUGGUCAAACGGAGCCCAGGCCACCAGCCUAGAUGGUGAGAAGUCUCCUAAUCUGGUGAGAAAAAUCGUAUUCACCAACAGCAAUAAAUAAGAGCCUUUUGCCUGGUAGGACUCCAUCUGUACUACUCUGCUCUCUUCUGGGUACCACAUUUUAUCAAGGGGUAUUUUUUUUUAAAUCUGGAAUGUAUCUUUAGGAUAGAAACCAGAGGGUCCUCGUGAUGAAAGGGAAGGGGGAAAGAUGGGGAAGAGAAAGAUGGGGAGGGAGGCAGAGAAGGAACAGGAGGGGGGAAAGGGAAGAAAUAAAGUGAAGUAAGGGAGAGAAAUGCAGAUGAACGGGGAGAGAGUGAGAGAUAGGAGAGAUCUUCAAAUAUAAGCUUGUCAAUCAUAAAAUAAGCAUUUGUUAAGCAUUUCUUAUUUAUAUCAACUAGCCCGCCCUGGAUUUAGAGAAAUAAAGUCAAAAACAACAACAACAACAACAACAAGCACUACUCAUAAGAAGCUUAUGUUCUAAGAAGCAUUUGUUAAUCACUUACUUAUUGUAUGCUUCAGGAUAUAAAUACAAUAAUUGAAAACAAUCUCAAG